AUUGAACGCUGGCGGCAUGCCUAACACAUGCAAGUCGAACGAGUGGCGGACGGGUGAGUAAUGUCUGGGAAACUGCCUGAUGGAGGGGGAUAACUACUGGAAACGGUAGCUAAUACCGCAUACCAUCGGAUGUGCCCAGAUGGGAUUAGCUAGUAGGUGGGGGAAAGGCUCACCUAGGCGACGAUCCCUAGCUGGUCUGAGAGGAUGACCAGCCACACUGGAACUGAGACACGGUCCAGACUCCUACGGGAGGCAGCAGUGGGGAAUAUUGGACAAUGGGGGAAAGCCUGAUGCAGCCAUGCCGCGUGUAUGAAGAAGGCCUUCGGGUUGUAAAGUACUUUCAGCGGGGAGGCGGUACCCGCAGAAGAAGCACCGGCUAACUCCGUGCCAGCAGCCGCGGUAAUUC
rnacentral:rRNA from 1 species